rnacentral:rRNA from 1 species
GUUGCCUCAGUACGGCGAGUGAAGCGGCAACAGCUCAAAUUUGAAAUCUGGCCGCAAGGUCCGAGUUGUAAUUUGCAGAGGAUGCUUUUGGCGAGGUGCCUUCCGAGUUCCCUGGAACGGGACGCCAUAGAGGGUGAGAGCCCCGUACGGUUGGACCACCGAGCCUCUGUAAAGCUCCUUCGACGAGUCGAGUAGUUUGGGAAUGCUGCUCUAAAUGGGAGGUGUACGUCUUCUAAAGCUAAAUACCGGCCAGAGACCGAUAGCGCACAAGUAGAGUGAUCGAAAGAUGAAAAGCACUUUGAAAAGAGGGUUAAAAAGUACGUGAAAUUGUUGAAAGGGAAGCGUUUAUGACCAGACUUGGGCUUGGUUGAACAUCCGGCGUUCUCGCCGGUGCACUCUGCCAGUCCAGGCCAGCAUCAGUUUGUCCCGGGGGAUAAAGGCGGUGGGAAUGUGGCUCCCCCGGGAGUGUUAUAGCCCGCCGUGCAAUGCCCUGGGACGGACUGAGGAACGCGCUUCGGCACGGAUGCUGGCGUAAUGGUCAUCAACGACCCGUCUUGAACCAACGGACCA